GUAAGUUGGUAAUCAUGGCGGAUAUGUUUUGAAAAAAAACUGUUCCAAAUGCUAUUGAUUUCUAUUGACAUUCAUAACAUUAACUAUUGACAUUCAUAACAUUAAAUGUUUCGAAAAAAUUUUUUUACGAAACCAAAUGGUUUGAAUAUCUCACCAGUUUAAUUUCGUAGUUAAACUUUUGGCUUGAAAAUGCCCUGAUAUAAAUGUUUUUAUGCCAUAUUUUAAAAUGGAUCAAGGUUUUGACAAAACUUUUGUAGCUUCAAGGGUUGUUCACGAAAGCCAACGUUGAAAUUUCGAUUAAAAAAGAAAGUUUUCGAAACUCUAUUUUCGUUUUGAUUCUUAUUGGAAUGCUUUCUUCCAUUAAAUUUUUGAAUAUCAUUCUCUGCUCUCUGACGUUCCGGAAAUCAAAGGACUGGUUUAAAAUUUCUGCUAUAUUAUCUUCUACGUCAUCGUUACGACGUUUGAUAAUGACUUUUUUCCCCUUAAUCAAACACUGCAUGAAGCUUAGUUCCAGGCGGUUGCAAAUUUUCAUUAUUUCGUAAAUAAAGCAGUUUUCCUUAUUAACAUUAGAUAUUUGAGUUAAAAUCAAGGAAAAACAAGUCGGAUUGCUCAGUAAUCUGAUAAACAGAUUCAAUUUGUUUUGAACGAAGAUGGUAGAUACGUCAUCGAUUUUAAAGUAGGAAUCCAGAAAUUUUAAUGCUGAUCUUCCAACAGCGUCUAAUUUAUUAAGAAAAGUAUUGCUUUUGUUUGUUGCUUGACAAAUUUUAUUUAGCGGAUAACGCAUUUUUUUAUGAUAUUUUAUUGAAAUUUUUAUUUUGUA